rnacentral:rRNA from 1 species
GAUGAACGCUGGCGGCGUGCCUAAUACAUGCAAGUCGAGCGAAUGGAUUAAGAGCUUGCUCUUAUGAAGUUAGCGGCGGACGGGUGAGUAACACGUGGGUAACCUGCCCAUAAGACUGGGAUAACUCCGGGAAACCGGGGCUAAUACCGGAUAACAUUUUGAACCGCAUGGUUCGAAAUUGAAAGGCGGCUUCGGCUGUCACUUAUGGAUGGACCCGCGUCGCAUUAGCUAGUUGGUGAGGUAACGGCUCACCAAGGCAACGAUGCGUAGCCGACCUGAGAGGGUGAUCGGCCACACUGGGACUGAGACACGGCCCAGACUCCUACGGGAGGCAGCAGUAGAGAAUCUCCGCGAUGGACGAAAGUCUGACGGAGCAACGCCGCGUGAGUGAUGAAGGCUUUCGGGUCGUAAAACUCUGUUGUUAGGGAAGAACAAGUGCUAGUUGAAUAAGCUGGCACCUUGACGGUACCUAACCAGAAAGCCACGGCUAACUACGUGCCAGCCGCCGCAGUAA